rnacentral:lncRNA from 1 species
AAUAUUACAAAAACAAAACUACAAUGAUAAAAUAACAAUUGCCCAAAGUUGUUUAAAAAGUACAAAAAUUGUCUAAGAAUAAAAGAGGCAGUAAAACAAAAAAGAACUCAAUUAAAAUUAAACUAAAACAAAGGGAUAAUUAGCAAAUAAACAAUAAUAACAAUAUGGACCAAUAUGCCAUGCGCUCAAGCGCGUAGGGACUAGAAUUGGAAAUAAUCCAUGCCACAAAACGCAUCACUGAAGCGCGGACCAAAACGCAAAUGAGCACAAAUUACAGGGCGGAUUUAAGAAAAUAAAAAAAUCUGGACUAGACCUAAUUAAGCACCAGCGCGAAAGAAAGGGAUUAAAUGCGAAAUUUCCCUUUACCGUAGCAAACGCGCGGAUCUUGAGGCUUAGGAGCUGGGUCGGGUCGGGUUCAUCCAUGCGGCACUGUUUCAGUGUUGGGGCCUUUGGUGCCAAAACGAGACCGUUUUGCACUGCUAUAAAAACCAUUUUUUUUUCUAAAAAUUUUCAUUUUUGCUGCCUGUUUCUUUAAAAACUUGAAAAGAGCUCUCCCUUUCUGCUAGGGUUUCGAAACCCUAGCUUCUGUGCCGCCAUCGUCGGUCCACCGCUCGUCCACUAUGGACAGUGGUCAGAGUUGCGUGAAAAUAGGGUUUUUAACCCCCCUUGUUUACAACCGCAUUUGAAAGCCAUACCCUUUUUUAAGCCCCAAAAGAACGAGAGGAGAAGGCCCUCCCCCUUUCGAACUCAAUUUCAACGGUGGAGAAGGGCCCUUAGGCGCCGCGAACACGGGGAAAUCAGGUGAGUUUUUUGUUUUUUCACUCUUUGUUUGCUUUUAAAAUAGACACAAAAAAAGAGAAAUAACAGAGGUAAAAAAAACACCUUGAGAAUGCUCAAUUUCGAACGCUAUUUUUUGUAUUUUGAUUUCUUCGUGUGCUCUGUAAUACAACCCUGUUUUUCGAAAAAUCCCCCUUACAAAAAUCAAAAGAAUGGCUUUAUAGCCGAACAAUAAUAAAAAAAAUUCCUUUCUUGCCAUCCUUUGUUUUUAUUUCUAUUUGCUGUUGUUUUCUUGUCUGUUUGCAGGUACGUGGCGCGUGGAGGUGUACGGCGUACGGAGGCGCUGAAGGCCAGUACAGCGUUGGAGGCUAGAGCUGCGGCACUCCCUGCUGUUAGGGUUUGCUGUUUGGCUAAUCCUAUGUUUAGGUUUUGGGCCAUUGGGCCACAUGGGUAUUUGGGUUUGUCAUUGGGCUUGUUUGGGUCUUGGGUUAUGUAGUUGGGUUUGGGUUUAAUUUUUAUUUAUUUUGUAUUUUGGUGGGCCCGGGCAAAUUGGCUCAUUUACAGUUAUUAUACCAAUUCAUAUAUGAUUUUUGAGGGCAAGCUAUAAAUUUAUUCACUUAUUUAUGGUUUAAAUUGUAUUUUAGUCACUAAACUUUAAAAUAUUAGUUUAUUACAUUUUAGUCCGUAUACAUCCCUUGCUCAAAAGUCUUCUUUUGCUCUCUGAAUCUUAAAUUCAUUCGAAGCUAAGCUAGCUUGUCGG